rnacentral:rRNA from 1 species
CAGUAGCCGCGGUAAUACGAAGGGGGCUAGCGUUGCUCGGAAUCACUGGGCGUAAAGGGUGCGUAGGCGGGUCUUUAAGUCAGGCGUGAAAUCCUGGAGCUCAACUCCAGAACUGCCUUUGAUACUGAAGAUCUUGAGUUCGGGAGAGGUGAGUGGAACUGCGAGUGUAGAGGUGAAAUUCGUAGAUAUUCGCAAGAACACCAGUGGCGAAGGCGGCUCACUGGCCCGAUACUGACGCUGAGGCACGAAAGCGUGGGGAGCAAACAGGAUUAGAGACCCCUGUAGUCCCUGUCUCUUAUAC